AAAAGACACUGCUACUUCUGACUUUUCCUUGGUGUCCAUGAAAAGCAGUGCCCGAGGCAUCACAUCAGCAGUGAAUCCUUCUCCAUGGCAGUGACACAGAGAGGUCAGUUCUGAUUUAAACCUGCUACCUCCUAAAGAUUCCUAACAUGAUUCUCAUGCACUGGCCAAAACUGCAGUACUUCGUAAAGCAGAAAAUACAGGAAAACUUCACAUUCACAUGGAGAACUGUAUUCCCAAGAGGAAGGAAGGGAAUCAUGGCAGUGUUUCCCUGAUUACUGGGGUUAGUAUGAUCCUAUUAAAAACCAGCAUUCAGACUGACAAUAUUUGGAUCAAGAGCAUCUGACCACAUCCCUUUAGCCCUCAUGACACCUUUGUGAGGUGACAAGCUGAAGAUAUUCCUAAGGGAAGCCUCACCUCUGACAUUCAGCAAGACCGUGAGCAUUCUGAACCCUUGAAAUUAAUAGAAAUGGGCAUCUCUCACAGCUACCCUCAAUCAAGUGAAGGGCUAUUUGCAAAAAUUAGAGGUCUCAUUUUUUUGAAGAGGAAAGGACCACUGACUACUCUGAGCUUUUUCAGUCAUCCACAGAAAUGAGCCUGAGAUGGACCAUGGGCACCUCACCAAGGAUGUCACAGCAACCUGUUCCCAGAGCACUGAGGACACUGGCACUUCUGAGAAUGAAACCUCUUGUGUUAAGUGGCUUUUUCGUACUUCAUGGGGAAUAUCUCUAAAACAGGUCUUUAUUUUUAAAUGGGGGUUUUUUUGUAAGAUUGAUUUUACCUCAAGACAUCACAAUCCCAACAUUCAUGUAAGGAUGAAUACAUGCACAAAUCCAGAUGACCCAAACAGAAAAAUCAUGCUUCCCUGGCAUGUGAUAUCGUAGAAGGCAUGUUCAGUUUUCAGCAGAGAAAAACAUUUACAGAAUUCUACCUUUUCACAGAGGGAAAGCACAGUCCCAGCUUGGAUUAUUGCAACCUGCUCUUCGUUUCUCAAAUUCUAAAAUACAAAAAGAUGCAUUUUAAAUUGUGUCAAAAAUUCAUCCUUUAACACAAGAAAUAACUGUACUUCAAAAAACAAAUAAUUUAUAACAUUUAGAAUUAUAGACAUGACCAAAAAAGUAUCCCACUAUUGAAAGUAUUAAAAGUUAAACCAGGAGUGCUUAGUUUCCACUCAAUUUCAGUACAUCACCUCCCCAACACUUUUGCAACAAUUUAUUUUUUGAUGAAAAUUAAGUGGCUUCUGUGAGCAAUUUUAAUUUUUUUUUCCCUUAGGCCUGUUAAUUGGACUAUGGCCCUACAGCAAGUGAAUCUCCCCUUUGUGCACUUUCAGAGCUAGACUUCCCAUUAACGAAAACAAUGCAAAGAUCAAGUACAAUAGAAACCUCCACAGAAUUUUCAACAUAAUAUGUAAAUCUAGAACUUAAAACUAGCAUUGUAAAGACCUCAAUCUCUUAAAACUAGCUAUAAACUGGACCCAGCUCGCUGGAUGUUUGUGCCAUAACUGCAUGACCAAGAUUUUAUUCUAUAUUUGGCACUGUAGAAGAAGAAAGGGAGACAGUUAUCCUUGCCUUGCCUUUCUCCCAGAAAAUCCACUCCUGGCAGAAAAUAGCCUUCACAGUAGUAGGUGAUACUAUUACUACUCAAAAGAAAAAACUCACAAACAACUUGGUCUGGUUUUCAUUUCUGUUUUAAAUCUGUUUUUAUUUCCUUUUAUAUCUAGUCUGGGUAUAAUCUUUUCCCUCUGCCUACUACAGUGCCUUUUUCUACAUCAUUCAGUCAAGACCAAAUCCUAGCUUAAAAAAAUACACUUUUCACUGGUAUCAUUUUAACUGAAAGACUUCAAGUUUGUAAAAGCAGUACCUAACCAUUCAUAUUCUUCAUACAAAUACAUACAGGCAUAUAAAAAUCACCCUCUGUAUUUUCUUGGAUGUUAUUAUCUGCUGUGGAGAAAAAAAAUGCAUUAAAUUAACCAUAAAACUGAAGAUAUAUUUAAAAUUAAAAAUUUGUUACCCCAUUAUCUCCAAGAAUAUCUAAUUUCUUCAUAAGUUCAGAUAUGUUCACAUCCUGAAAAAGAUGUUCAACACUUAUUUUUUUUAAAGUAGGUGAGAAAUAGAUUAUAUAUGCUACAUUUUAUGUACUGUUUAUUCACUUCUGCAUGCAAAAAGAGUACAAAUAAGUGAAACAUUAGUUUUGUAUCACAAUUACAAAAGUGUUAUUUAUACUUUCAAAGACAAAACAAAAUGUCACUUUUGAUUACAGUAAGCAACCAAGCAACCUGAAUGUUUGUGUAUGAGGGCAGAAUGUUCCUGCACCAUUCACAUUUAUCAUUCUGCUAAUGUAUGUAGAGGAACGAUCAAAACUGAUAAACAGGUUUAAAAGAGUGUUUAAAGACAAAAGGUUUAAAAACCAUUUUUUUGUUUGUUUGGAGUGGACCAUCAACCACAUCAACCUACAGAAGUUAAAAUGACAGAGAGCAUGAACAAAACAAUUGCUAAGAAGGUUCACUGGGUGAUUUGCUGUUUGCUUUUUAUUUUCGUUGUUAAACAAAAGUAUGGAGUUUCAAAUCAGCCUUACAGUGCCAGAAGGGAAUGUGUGCAGAGGGCUGAACAUGCUCCUCCAAACACCAUCAGAUCAUAACCUUUGUGAGUAGAAAGCUAUGUUUCUCUGCCAGUCAGCUCUCAGAUCCACAAAAAGAACUGAACAACCCCUCCUUAUUAAGGUCCGGCCACUGAAAUAAAGAGAAACACUGCUCUGAUCCAAAAAAAAAAAAAAAAAAAGAGAGAGAGAAAGGAAUAAAUUCACAUGAUGUUUUUAUUUUGCACUGUGCCAGGAUCCAUUCUGAGGUCCCAGAACUCUAUUUUCUACUUUAAAAAAUUGUUGGAAGGGGUCAUGGAACUGUCUAACCUGCCCUAAUCACAUUCUCCUGAACUAUUCCAAGUAUGGACCACAAGUUCACAUGGACCAGGGAUCAUUUCCGUUGACAGGUUGUAUGCAGCUAUGUCAUUAAAAAGUAGGAAGGUUUGACAACGUGGGAAAACAUCAGUUCGUGUGAGCCCAAAAUGCUUCAUACACAUACAUAAAGCAAACCAGCCUUGUUAAACGCUGCCACCCUCAACUUCUACUCAUAUUUAGCACUGCUUAGAAGAGGCCAGUAUUUCACAAGGAUCUUGGCUCACCUAUUUCAUUGCUUCCAGUACAUAACGUGCUGCUUUGCAUUUAUGCUUUGGGCAACUGCAUUAUGUCGGUAGUCAGGAUAAUCAAUCUUUAACAUUUUUUAAAGCUAAACCAGCUAUGCUUGCAAAUUACAUACCUACAUCAGAAUAUAUUAGCUCAUGAUUCUAUAAUCAACAGACUCCAGUGAGGAAGGCUCAGAAAGAAAUGAAAGAUUUCCUGAAGACCAGACACAGAUGUGGGAGAGAACAAAUUAGUCCAGUAAAGUGUUGUGUUCAAGUUGUUCGAUCCUGAGAAGUUCCCUCCCUCUCUUUCAUCUCUUCCCAAACACUUCACUGGUGUUCCCAAAUGUUAUCUUAGUUAUUUAACACUGCACAUCACUAACUCUAGAGUGGUGCACAUCUUAACACACUUGUAUUUGGAAUGAUGUUAAAAACAAAGUACUGAUUAUGAUAAGCAAUGACAAUGUUGAAUGGAAACUUCUUUAGCCAAACAGUAAUGCUAGUAAGGAAUUAAAUUCACUAAGACAUACAAAAUUUUGCAUCUAUUGAGCCAGAAAUAAUCAUUCUAAUUCAUUUUUUCCAUAUGAACUAUAAAGGAUUAAUUAGAAACCAAACCAGAUUUUGCAUCAUUUUGGAAUCUACCAUGCUACUGAUGGCUAACAACUUCGAAAAUCACUAAAAGCAGAUAAAAGGUCAGCAGUGUCAGUAUGCUCAUGUUAGGUGACUGCCACUCCUUACAGGUAAGUAAACUGAAGGUCAGCCUGAAAAGAACAUUGCUGUUAAUGACUGUCACAGUAGACAAUGGGGAAAAAUAGGAAUUCUAGAUCCUGGUACACUGUUCCCGCUUACAGCCAACAUGCGAGUUAGAAUGAUGGAUAAGCUAAAAGCAGGUCUGGCAUCCCACAGAGGUUCUAUUUGAAAGGUAAUACACUGACUGAUGACUCUUGAUGUGGUUAGGGAGAUGAGUAUCCAACCAAACCUGUAGGUAAGAAUGAGGUUUUAACUUUUUUCUUUUAGACUACUGAGCUUCCUAAAAAUACGCAGCCUACAAUUUCAGUUCAUUUCCUCUAGAGAUCGUACUGCACUCAUUAAGGCAUUGAAUAGGAGCAAGCCUCAUAUAAGAGGACUUGUAAACACAAUUAAAAAUAUUUGCAUAAAUCACUAUGGCACUAAGAUUAUGCCUUAGUUACCUGUAGAAAAGUUACCCUGGCCUGUUGUGCAACAUUACUGACAGCAUAAGUCUGAAUUCAAUCUUAGCUGAAGCAGCAUGCAAAUCAAGUGUCACAGCUAGCCUGUUCAUGGGGGAACAGAAGUGAAAUAAGUAAUUCUUGAUUCCCCUUAGCAAAAGCUAAGGGAGAGCCUGAUGUUUGUCUUGUACUUGAUCUAAAAUGAUAGAUUUCCACCUAUCUGGGUUUGGAUCAGGCAGCUCAUGCUUCAAGGCCCUGGCCUAGGCAAAUAACUUUAGUAUGUUCAUUCAACAAACAAAAUGCUUCACUAAAUUGGGUAUAAAAUAAUAGCUGAAUGUUGUAUUUCUGAACUUAGAUGAAAACAUUUAAUAUUAAGAAAAAUGUAGUGUAGCAAGUCUGACAAUGAAUCACAUCAACUUCCACAUUCUUCCCUAGACCGAAUGUAAAUUAUUUUGAUGGAUCAGCCUUAAUGUUCACUGAGGAACUCCUGAUUGACUACCCGAACAGAUUCUUAGGAAAUUCUUUCCCGGGUUAAAAAUAUCUUUUCUUACUAAAUUUAUUUUUUCAUGUUUUCUUCUCUGGGAAAUGCCAAACAAUUUGUUUGGAUAUUAGGUUGGUCAUUCCAAAAAAGUUCCUAGCCAUCCAACUGCAUGCUCUGCAUAUACCUUUAUUCCUUCCUGAUGACAGAACAGUUGAAGUGCACUUCCAUUGUUUUCAGGGAAGGUGGUUAUAUGAAGAUUAAAUGCUGGAGACCUUCGCUCUCUCUCCUGAGGAAAGAUUUAUUUAAAAACAACAUGUGUGAUUAUCUGUAAACAUUUAUUCCCCACCUUUACAAAACAUACUUGCAUAUUAAAAAGGCAGAUUCCUGUUCACAUUCCAAAUAUAUGAUAUUUCCUCAUAUUUUUACCAUAUUUGAAGAAUUUUGGCUUUAGCUAAACACAAAAAUGGUGUUAGCUGCCAACUGACUCCAUGCACACUUAGUUUCUGCAAAGUUACCAGACACUCCUCAGCUGCAGGAACCCUUGCAACAGUGGUCCUAAUUGACAGAAGUUCUAAAAUACUCUACAGGUUUUUAUGAUGAUUAUAACCUUAUUUAGCUAUCGCUUUCUUUCGUGGAACAAAAAAACAAUUUGAAAGAAGAAACUGCAAAAAAAAAAUUUAAAUUCCAUCAUGGAAUAGCAUUAUCACUGAAGAUUUUCUCACUAAAACUAAAGCUGUGUAUCAGCAGCUCCUUGUUUAUUCUACAGUCAGCCUUCCUGUUAGAGCGUUUAAAAUCUCAAUUCAUAUUUACUGUACAACCCAGGAUGUUAGAAAAUGUUGAAAGGCAGCACUAUUCUACCGUUACGAUGUUCUUUGUGCCCAAAGCAAAAAUUAUAAGUUCCCAUUUAUCUAAAACUAUAGUAUUUCUAAAACUUAUCCAGUCCAUCUACUUGAGUUUUAUGCAUUUCUUCAAAAUACCAGCCUAUUAUUUCUUCAAAGGCAGAAAUAGAGUAAAGCAAUAAACAAGCAAUUUUACUUAAAUUAAAUUUUAAUGUGCUUGUGAAAAUGACUGGAUUGAAGGCUCUGGGCAACCAAGGCACUGAGUCUUACUCUGAAUUCUCUCUGGCCAUGGGAACACAAGCGAGGAACACCAGAUUUCAUCUCCAUGUUACAAGAGGAGGCUUUGGCAUCAACAGUUUCAUUUCCUGAGAGAGAGUACUACUGCAAAUAUUUUAGUUUUUAUGACUAUGUGUUGCUCCAUUUUCUAAACUACAAAAUGAGGUAUUUUAAUUGAUAUGGCAGGCGGGCUGCAUCCAUUCACUUAAGCGAGUUACAAAGCAUGGUAAAUCUUGUUCAUGAACUAGAUUAAACCUAAUUUGAAACUACAAUGUAGAGAGGAAAAUCUCCAUAGUCUAUACAUUUUUCCCCCUCACAGGCUUUAUUUUAAAUAAUAUUUACAUUAACAGCCUAAUUCUGAAAUGGGCUUAAAUGACUUAGCUGUCAUAACCCAAACCCAAAAGCUUAAUUCUUGUCCAAAUUGUUAUCAUUUUCUAUAUUGUUAAAAAUUAAUCAGUUGCAACUGCAUUAAACUCACCUAAAUUUGCUUGCAUUAAAUUUUAAACAAAUGAUUGUGUUUUCUACUUUAGCCUAAUUUUCAUCUGAAAUAAUUUAAUUGCUCUAACAAAUAUUGUCCUGAUUAUCAGAAGCAUUGAUGGUUUUCCUAAAGCAUUGCAUUGUCAGUCACAUUUGUGUCUACAUGCUUGACUACUAGGGAAAAACAUCUUUUCUUGUAAUCAUACAAAAAUACCUCAAUUGUUAUUCUGUAAAACAAGUUUUUAAAGCUUUGGCACAUGACAAAAUUCAACAUGACACACUGAGCUUUUUCUGAUGUGAUUCUUCCAUGUGAAAAAUACACUAAUGAAGGAUGUACUGAAGAACAUUUGUUCUUUUCCUAAGAAUUUUUUUCAGCGGUUUUAGUUCUAAGAACACUGACAUUUUAGGAAGCAGUUUCUAAUGUAACUGCCAAUUCAAAUACUAAAUCGUUCUGUAUUUUACUUUACAGUUCUUUUAAUAAAAUAUAAAGACGUAUUAGAAAGCAUAUUUAUUUUUCUGAACACCUACUGAAAUUCUAAUAACCUAAAUUCAUAACUUUGAAUAUAAUGGGCUACGACAUCAAAACAUAUGGUUGAAAAAGGAUGAGAAAAAGAUUAAGAAAUGUCAAAGGCAAAAAGAGCGUCCGCAUAACAGGAAGACAUGACAUUUCCAUCUUUAUCAGAGAAGCUACACAUGCCGAGAUUUUUGGUGAAACGUGCUGGGUGAUAAAAAUUAUGGAGGAGUGACAAUGACAGGUUUCUGGGAGAGUUUAUUCUAAGUGGUGUUAAGAAUGCUGAUGAUCUUUGAACGAUGUGUCAUCAGGCAACACAACUGCGUGACAACUGUGCAUCACACACACUAGUUUAGUGUUCCUAAAUUCAACAUGAGCCCAAUUAAUCAGGUGAUGAGAACCAUUGUUUUCUGUUGAAAUCACAGCCUACAUGUUCAAAUUGUUAUUAACAAAUAAUUUUGUAAUUUUUAUUUCAUUUAUGCAAAGUAUAGAAUUUGUUUGCUAUGGGCAACAUAUUAGUCUGACAUACACUUGUGCUUCACUACUUUACUUUGACUUUGUCAGAGGGUUUUUUGUUUUCAUUUUUCAUUGGCCAAUUAUUUCCAGUCCAUGACCAGUUUAAACCAUCAGAAAAUGGAUUUCAGGUAAGAGAAAUUCUUUCAAAGCAUCUAUCAAAAUGUAUUAUUUUUAAAAUAAAUUUUUUUUGUAUGAAUGCGGUCAAUCAAAUCAGUGUAAUUAAAAGCAAUUAUACAUUGAUGUGAUGAAUGUGUCAGAUCUUUAGUCAGAUCACUGCAUGCAAGAUGUGAGAAGGUGUGUUAAUGUAAUCAAUGCCAAACAAGGCUAUAGUAUACAUACCAAGUGAUUUUACAUGCAGGAAAGGAGCAGUUAUGGAAAUGAAACAAAUAAAAAAGGCAAAAUAUUGCAAAACAAAAUAUUUUAUUAGAUGAAAACCAAACUAUAUGCAAUUUAUAUUAGCUAUAUUACAUCUUUAUAAACAUUAGUGAGCAUUCUCUCCAAAACACAUUAAGGCAGUGGCAUCAAAUCUCAUUAUCCCAAGAUACAAUAUUUAAAAAAUAGAUACCUAAGUGACUUCCCUUAAACAUGCACCAGACACCAGUAAUCUUUACAGGAAUUUCAGCUUGGGUUCAAACAUAAUUUCUGCUCCAUUUGAGAGUUUGCAACAGAGAGAAUCUCUUACUUCAAGCUCUAGCACUCUGAAUUCUAA